rnacentral:tRNA from 1 species
GGAUGGAUGUCUGAGCGGUUGAAAGAGUAGGUCUUGAAAACCGAAGUAUUGAUAGGAAUACCGGGGGUUCGAAUCCCUCUCCAUCCG